UCUCCGUUGGUGAACCAGCGGAGGGAUCAUUACAGGACUCGCAAGACUCCUACUACCCUGUGAACUUAACUAUAAGCACGUUGCUUCGGCGGGUGUCUCGGAGGGGGUUCUCCCUCCCCGAGACGCUAAACCCGCCGGCAGCCUACUAUACUCUGUCUCUUUGCGUUGGCAUCUCGAGUACAAUCAAACAAGUUAAAACUUUCAACAACGGAUCUCUUGGUUCUG
rnacentral:misc_RNA from 1 species